UUUUACAUAGCUGGUAGCUCAAGUCCCCUCAAUGUGACUACACUAGUUGCUGCUGUACGCUAGUAAAUUCUGAUGACUUGCGAGCAUCGUAAUGACAAAAUGCUGUGGUGAAACAGUGAAUAUGUUAAGUAUACUUGUUGAUGGUAAAUUGUUUGACAUUGCUCGUUCUCAGUUGCCUUUCCCCUGCCUAAAGAUAGACAAAGGCUACCGUUAGCAUGCUAUUGCGUUAGCUCAUCAACUAGAUGCUGGGCACUGCUCAUUUUUCACGUCUGCCCGGUAUUUCGCUGAUGAACUAACGCUUAGACGCCUUGCCAAUGUAUUUUACAGCGGCAAAAAUGCAUCUAGGCGACGUUGGAAAGACUGAUGUGCCGUCUGGGUAUGUUGGUUUUCAGUGCUGGGCAGUAGCGAAGCGACUAGUUUAAUUACAUUCUCUAGUAGCUUGGUCGUAGCGUCACUACUAUGUAUCGAGUAGCUAACAUCCCUGUAGUAAUGCUAUUUUUCCUCAAGUAGCGACGUUGUCUACAAAAGCUACAAUUUGUCCCCCAUCGAUUUUACUCAAUGAUUUUUGUUUUACUUUCUCUAUCCUGAAACCUAGGCAGUCACACAGGGGUUCCAAGACCCACCGGCGUAAAAUCAAGUCAAAGGCUGCUGUCUCAUAAUAUGGCGAAGACGAGUCACCUGAAGGCCUAACUCGCCAUAGAAGACUGAAAGAAUGUAAGAUUAACUUCUUUGUGACCAAUAUGACUUGCUCAUUGAUACAUUUGCUAUGUCAAUAUGAGGUGCAUGGCAAAGUAUUUAAUUUAUUUGUCUCGCUUCUAGGAGCUGUAGAAACAACAGGGUGUUCUUUUUCAGGGUAUUCUUUUUUAUAGAACUGGACAGGUCAUUUAUUCGUUACCCUUGUUUUUGAAGUGUCCUGCAGGAUGCUGUGUCCUGCAAUCCUGUGUGCUGUGCUACAGACGCGUGUGGAGGUCAACCCAAAAUGGGCACAGUCUCACCGCAGAAGAGUGAAAGAGGAUCCUGGCAGGGAGACGGUAGUGUCCUGCAGAAUGGUGAUGGGCCAAUCUUACAAGAGACCACAGAAAACUGAUAUAGUGAACUAUAGAAACAACAGUGCCUGCUGCAGUAUAAUGAGGACACCCUGAGCAGAGAGCUCCAAUAGACCCAGGUCCAGUGUCUUGGCAGGGUGAAAUGGCACUGAUAUGGUGUCCUGCAGGAUGCUGUGUCCUGCAAUCCUGUGUGCUGUGCUACAGACGCGUGUGGAGGUCAACCCAAAAUGGGCACAGUCUCACCACAGAAGAGUGAAAGAGGGUAAGCUUAACCUAUAGCCUACGUCAGUGGUGGGGAACCUUUCUCAUUCGAAGGGCCAAUUCAAAUUCAUCCGAGGGGCCGUAAAAGUCCUCCAA